CCUCAAGUGAUCCGCCCACCUCGGCCUCCCAAAGUGCUGGAAUUACAAGCAUGAGCCACCAUGCCUGGACUGUAAGGUCAAUUUUUCUAAGUGCCAAUAAUUUUUGCAUCAUUUAAUUAUAUAUUUAUUGUUGACAUUUGGUAUAACACUGUGCUCUCCUCAUUAUUCUUCAUCAGGAAUGUCUUUAUUAUUCUUGAACUGUUUUUCCAUAGAAAUUUUAAAAUCACCUUUUUAGGUUACAUACAAAGACACAUAGACACAAACAGAACUGUUGAGAUUUUGACUGCAGUUGCAUUAAAGUUAUAGAUUAAUUUGAAUGUUGAGUUUUCCAGACCACAAACAUGGAAUAUCUCCUCAUGUCUUCCCAUGAGGUAAAUGUUAUAAUUUUUUCUCUGAAAGUCUUGUGCACAUACUAGAAUUAAUCUCAGAUACUUCAUAUAUAUUACUUUUAUACCUUACAUAUUUUGUACCAUUGUAAAUGAUGUAUUUUAAUUAAAUUUCAUUUUCUAAGCAUUUGUUGCAAAUUUAAGAUAUUUUGCCUAAGGUUAGAUUUAUCGGGUUGUUGAACGAUUCUAAAAUUUUGUUGGUAAAAUUAUGUUUCAAGUCCGCCUUGCUGUCAGCCAGUGCUGGAUGCUGAGGACUCAGGGAGGCCCACCCGGACCAGUGCGGGAGACAGCGACCCGAGCAGAAGCUGGACCAAGCGGGAGAGGAAGGAGAGGAGAGAGUCAGGGCUCUCAGGAGCCGGGUCCUGGGCAAGGGGCAGCCGUUUUCAAAUUUUCAGUAAAGCGGUCGGCUCACCCUCGGGCAGUAAAAAGAUGCCUCUGGGGAGGAGGCCCACGCAGCUCUCCGGGCAGUGGUGGUGGCUGGGCCUAGGGAGGUGGCAGUGGAACGGAGACCCUGGUGGGGGAUGACAUCAAGGGAGGAGACGGGCAGGACCCCAGAUUUCUGCCUGUGGGCGAUGGAAGUGAGGUUCACUGAGCAGGGAAGCUGGACACAGAACGCGCAAAGGGCAGAGUAGACAGCUGGUGGCCGAAGAGCAGGCGGACCCCCUCCGCUGGGGGAAAGUUUCCGAUGGGACACAAAGCAGCUGACCGGAAGUGGGGGCGAAAGUGCAGCGCGCUCAGGGGCGACUGAGCGCCUUAGCUCGCCAAGUCUGAAUUGCCUGACAGCGGGGGACGCGGUGGCAGCGCUCGACUGGAGUCGGUUGAGUUUCUGAGGGCCUCCGGUUCUGGAAGGCUCGCUGCAGAGACAAGAGAGGAACCUGUUCCAUAGGGAUUCUAGAAGAGAACAGCGUUGUGUCCCAGUGCGCAUGCUCGCAUCAAUUAUCCAGCGUGGUUGAGACCCUGACUUGUUUGGAGUAGUUUUUUCACACCCACCCGAAUAGCCUGCCCCUCAGCCACACUCUGUGCCUUCCUGAGAACAGGUUGAUAUGCCCAAGAUAGUCCUGAAUGGUGUGACCAUAGACUUCCCUUUCCAGCCCUACAAAUGCCAACAGGAGUACAUGACCAAGGUCCUGGAAUGUCUGCAGGACAAGGUGAAUGGCAUCCUGGAGAGCCCCACCGACACAGGGAAGACACUGCCCCCUGUGCACCACGCUGGCCUGGUGAGAACACCCAAGACACCAUCUUUACCUGCAAUAUUGCCAAGAGGGUGCAAGGGGAGCUUCUGGCAGAUCGGGCCUUUGUCAUCCUGGAACAGUGCUGCUGCUGCUGUUGGAGACCCCAUAGCUUGUAACACGGACAUCCCAAAGAUCAUUUACGCCUUUAGGACCCUCUUACAACUCACACAGGUCAUCAACGAACUUCGGAACAUCUCCUACCGGCCUAAGUGUGUGUGCUGGGCUCCCAGGAGCAGCUGUGCAUCCACUCUGAGGUGAAGAAGCAGAAGAGUAACCACAUGAAGAUCCACUUGUGCCGCAAGAAGGUGGCAAGUCACUCUGUAAUUUCUACAACAAUGUAGAAGAGAAAAGCCUGGAGCAGGAGCUGGUCAGCCCCAUCCUGGACAUCGAGGACUUGGUCAAGAGGGGAAACAAGCAUGGGGUAUGCCCUUAUUACCUGUCCCGGAACCUGAAGCAGCAAGCCGACAUCAUCUUCAUGCCGUACAGUUACUUGUUGGAUGCCAAGAGGCGCAGAGCACACAACAUUGACCUGAAGGGGACAGUCCUGAUCUUUGAUGAAACUCACAACGUGGAGCUCUGUGAAGAAUUGGCAUCCUUUGUCCUGACACCCCAUGAACUAGCUUUGGGACUGGACAUCAUAGACCAGGUGCUGGAGGAGCAGAUCAAGGCGGCGCAGCAGGCUGAGCCCCACUCAGAGUUCAGUGGGACCCCACCAGCUCAGGGCUGAACAUGGAGCUGCAAGACAUUGCAAAGCUGAAGAUGAUCCUGCUCUGCCUGGAGUAGGCCAUCAAUGCCGUUGAGCUCCCUGGAGAUGACAGCGGUGUCACCAAGCCUGGGAGCUACAUCUUUGAGCUGUUUGCUGAAGCCCAGAUCAUGUUACAGACCAAUGGCUGCAUCCUGGACUCGCUGGACCAGAUCAUCCAGCACCUGGCAGGAGAUGCUGGAGUGUUUGCCAACAAGACCGGACUGCAGAAGCUGGCGGAUAUCAUCCAGAUCAUGUUCAGUGUAGACCCCUCUGAGGGUGGCCCUGGUUCCCUGGCAAGACUGGGGGCCUAUAAAGUGCACAUCCAUCCUGAUGCCCGUCACCAGAGGGCGGCUCAGCCAUCUGAUACCUGGAGCACCACUGCAGCCAGAAAGCGAGGGAAGGUGCUGAGCUACUGGUGCUUCAGUCCUGGCCACACCAUGUGCAAGCUGGUCCGUCAGGGCGUCUGCUUUCUCAUCCUCACUGGUGGCAUGCUGGCCCCGGGAUCCUCCUUUGCCCUGGAGAUGUAGAUCCCUUUUCCAGUCUUCCUGGAGAACCCACACAUCAUCGACAAGCACCAGAUCUGGGUGGGGAUCGUCCUUAGAGGCCCUGACGGAGCCCAGUUGAGCUCAGCGUUUGACAGACGGUUUUCCGAGGAGUGCUUGUCCUCCUUGGGGAUGGCUCUGGGCAACAUCACCCGCAUGGUGCCCUAUGGGCUCCUGAUCUUCUUCCCUUCAUAUCCCUUCAUAGAAAAGAGCCUGGAGUUCUGGCGGGCCCAUGUCUUGGCUAGGAGGCACUGAAGCCUCUGUUUGUGGAGCCCAGGAGCAAAGGCAGCUACUCUGAGACCAUGAGUGCUUACUAAGCGAGGAUUGCCUCUCCCGGGUCUACCGGAGCCAUCUUCCUGGCGGUAUGCCAGGGAAAGGCCGGGGAGGGGCUGGACUUCUCAGACAAUAAUGGCUGUGGUGUGAUCGUCACGGGCCUCCCAUAGCCCCCACACAUGGACCCCUGGUUGUCCUCAAGAUGCAGUUCCUGGAUGAGAUGAAGGGCCAGGUUGGGGCUGGGGGCCAGUUCCUGUCUGGGCAGGAGUGGUACCGGCAGCAGGCAUCCAGGGCUGUGAACCAGGCCAUUGGGCGAGUGAUCCGGCACUGCCAGAACUACGGGGCUCUCUUCCUCUGUGACCACAGGUUCACCUUUGCCGACCCCAGAGCCCAGCUGCCCUCCUGGGUGUGUCCCCACGUCAGGGUGUACAACAACUUUGGCCAUGUCAUCCAAGACAUGGCCCAGUUCUGUGUUGCUAAGUGAACUAUGCCAGCACCAGCGCCCCGGGCUGCAGCAUCCAGUUUGUGUGAGGGAGAAGAUGCUGUCAGGGUGGCUAAGUCACCUGGCCCCCUCCUUUCCACCAGGAAAGCUAAGAGUCUGGACCUGCACGUCCUCAACCUGAAGCAGAGGCCAUCAGGGUCACCAGCUGCUGGUGGUGGGCUGGGGGGCCCUGGCGAGGAGCAAACCCACAGGUGCUCCACCCUGCCCCUCCCAUCUAAGAGGCUGGCAGAGGAGCCGCAAGGAAGGAGGAAGAAGAUCCGGCUGGUCAGCCAGUCGGAGGAGCCCGUGGCUGGUGCACAGGCAGACAGGGCCAAGCUCUUCAUGGUGGCCGUGAAGCAGGAGCUGAGCCAAGCCAACUUCGCCACCUUCACCCAGGUCCUACAGGACUACAAGGGUUCCGAUGACUUAGCUGCCCUGGCGGCGUGUCUCAGCCUCCUCUUUGCUGACGACCCCAAGAAGCACAGCCUGCUCCAAGGUUUCUACCAGUUUGUGUGGCCCCACCACAAGCAGCAGUUUGAGGAGGUCUGUAUACAGCUAACAGGACAAGGCUGCAGCUAUCAACCUGAGCACAGCACGCCCCGAAGGCAGCGGGCACAGCCAGCCCUGGACCCUGCUGGAAGGACAGCACCGGAUCCCAAGCUGACCCUGUCCAAGGCUGUGGCCCAGCAGCUGGACCCCAGAGAGCACCUGAACCAGGGCAGAUCCUACCUGUCCCCCAGGUCACCCCCCACAGGAGACCCUGGCAGGUACCCACAGUGGGGGUCCAGAGCUCCCAGAGCAGGGAAGCAGGGCCAGCACACUGUGAGUGCUUACCUGGCAGAUGCCCGCAGGGCCCUGGGGUCCACAGGCUAUAGCCAGCUCUUGGCAGCACUGACAGCCUACAAGCAGGAUGACGACCUGGACAAGGUGCUGGCCGUACUGGCCGCACUGACCAUUGCGAAGCCUGAGGACUUCCCCCUGCUGCAGAGGUUCAGCAUGUUUGUGCAUCCACACCACUAGCAGCACUUCUUGCAGACAUGCACAGACCUGGCCAGCCGGCACUCCUACCCAGGCAUGGAGCCGCCAGUACCCCAAGAGAAGAGUCUUGCCACACUCCUGUGCUCACCCACGGGGCUUUCCAAUCAGACCCCUCAUGGUGCGAGAAGCCUGGGAAGACCCAGAGCAAGAUCUCAUCCUUCCUUAGACAGAGGCCAGCAGCGGCCUUGGGGGAGGACGGUGUGGCUGCAGGGCCAAGCCAGUCCCCCGGACCUCCCCACGCGCAUGCAGCGUCUGAGUGGGGCCUCUAGGAUGUGCCCAGCCUGCAACACUGCCUGCAGGAAGCAGAGCAUCACUCAGGUCUUCUGGCCAGAGCCCUAGUGAGUGCCCAUGGAGGCCCUCAGCAUGCCCAAUGGCUUGAUCACCUGCCUGUCCAGCUCUCGUGGGCCAAGAACCCACCCAAUAGAAUAGGCCAGAGAACACUUAAAAUCUACUCUUAGCAAUUUGCAAGCAUACAGUAGAAUUAUUUUCAAUAACUAUGGUUAUUAACUAUAGUCACCAGAUACAACAGACCUCUUGAGUUCAUUUCUCCUAACUGAAAUUUUGCAUCCUUUGACCAACUUCUCCCCAGGCCCUGACCCCAUCCCUGCAUCUCCUAGUAACCCCCGUGCUGCUCUAUAUUUCUAUGAAUUCAACAUUUUUAGAUUUUACAAAUAUGUGAGAUCAUAUGUUGUCUUUCUGUAUCUGUCUUAUUUCAUUUAACAUAACAU